CCCGUUAUUCACUGGUCUCCCUAUUGUACAUGUAUAUGGGGAUCAGUGACUAAGCGGG
rnacentral:miRNA from 1 species